UUGUAGGGAUUGCUUUAUUGCUCAGCAGAGAAGGGUGCCAAUGAAGCACUGGCAGGUGUUGUGGGUCACAGCCACAGCAAAAGGCAUAGGUUAAAAUACAUAUUUGGUUCCCGGACCUCCCCUGGCAGAUUUUACAAGUCAGUUAUUGACCUGCAUUGAUCCUUAUCCUGGAGGCCCUCACUGUGUGGCUUUUGGCUGUGGCAAAUCCAUGGGGCUGUCAAUGUCCACCCCAGAUCAUGGGGAGCCAAAAAGACAAUUAGUAAAGGGGAGAAAAAGAAAUAAAAAUAUUCUCCAGGCUGGUUUCCAUGUUUUAGCCAAGGGAGAAAAAAUGUACAGCCAAGUCCUAAACCCCAGUAGUGAGGGAUUGCUAUUGGAACGCAUGAUGUGGCCUUAAACACAACAACAUAAAUCAUGCUGCUCUCAUUAUGUAAUGUGAAUUUCAAAUAUAUGAUGUAUAGGAGCCCUGCAGUUGCAAAUCUGUGAUCAUUUUUAUGUCUGCACAGGUGUCAUUGGAGCUGCAUGACCAACCCAAUAAGUUAAACCUUCAUUUCCUGCUAUAAAGUUGGGUGGUUUAGCCAAGGCACUAGGUUGAUUGUGUAGAUACAGAUAAGUCACCUUUUAGUACUUUCAGACAGAGACUAGGGACCAUCCAAUGUGAGUCUGCCUGCUGUUUCCAGAGAUGACCAUGCUUCCUACAUAAUGUCUGUGAAGAGAGGGGUAUCUAAAUAGGAACUUGUGGGAGUUCAGCAAGCCAAGCACACCUUCUUCUUUUUUUUAACUCCCAUGCAGAUUCCUCUAUCUAGCAGCCAACAGCUUUGGUAACACACAAACAUGCAAAGCUUAGUUUCCUACCAUGUAGAAAGUCUCCUUUAAAAUGCUGUGUAUCUUCAGCUUGACUGCAAUGGCUAGUCCCAACACCGGGCCCUCAAACAUAUAUUUACAUAAUGAACUAAGCCAAAUAUAAGUGCCAGUCUCAGUAAAACCUUUAUUUGUGACAAUCUGGUGAUCCUGUGAAAUGAUCCUGUGAAAGAUUGAGCCUCCAACGCUCCCAGAAGCUGAAAUAAGAGUUGAAGAUGCAUUGCAUUUUACAGGAUUAUGUUCCUAUUUACAUGAUGGACUAUUGAUGUCUCCAAGUUACUUCUAAAUCUCAUUUUUAAACAAAAAUGUUUUUCAAAUUAUGUAAAUAUCUUGGGAAAUUAGGCACUUUUUUUCCUCUAAGCAGCUGCACUAGUUUUCCAGCACUGUGACACUCGCCAGGGAGCAGGAGGUUUGGGUGCUGCGUAUGUGCUUCAGCCAGCUCUUCACAUCUGAGUUAAAGAGGCACUGCAUCAUUUCAGUCUGCAAGGGGAACCUGAACCUCCCUGCAGGAGUGCCACACUCAGGCUCCACAUCCAAAUGCUGAAGUGUUCUAGAGCCUUUCCUGUCCCUCUAUAGGGAGAAUGCAGCUCAAAUGAAGGCAGCCAAGACCAGAGAAGUCAGACUACAGCCCAUGUCUGUCACAGGGCUGAGCUUCAUGUACCAUUUUGAAAUGGUGCCAAGUUUCUCCUUAGUCCCGACACCUGCUUCUGUGAUUUCUAUUUGUUAGAAAUUAAAUGGAGCAGGAGGCAGAGCAUCCUUAGUAGGAGUGUGCCAAGAGUUUACUGAUUUCUAUUUACUUAAUAAAUCUGCUCAUGUUUCAAAAAGU